ensembl:lncRNA
GCUUGUCUGAGCUUUCAUCUCUCUCAGGAUGUGUUUCUGUAAACACUGCAUGCUAAGCGUUCCUCUUUUUUUUUGUCCUUUUAAAGAGCAUCUCUGUUAAAAGUCUCCACAAUCAAUCAGAAGGCAGGUAUUCUUGCAGCUGUGUCUGUCCUCCCAACACUGUACUUUUUUGUCUUUUAGAUUCCCACUGUCACCAUGUAUUCCCGCACUGCUAAGAGCUGCAAGCUUCAAAAAGUCAUUGCAUCAGCCCUGUGCGAAAUCCCAAACUCUACCGGGAUAAACCAGAUCAAUAAAUAACAGACUGGACAAGAUCAAAGGAAGGGGGGAAAAAAAAAUCUGUGGAACGUGACAGACUGUGUUCUGUUUCAGUUUCACUUAAGUUGAUUUUGUGGCUUUGCAUUGACUCGAGCCCAAGGGAUCGUGGGUUGUCCAGAUGCUUCUCUCUUUUCCCAGAGUGCAUCUCAACUCGCCCACUCUGGAACCACUCGUUUCAAAUUGCCACUUGGCUAACUCGACCACUCACCGCAGGACUGAAACAGAAAAGAUGUCUGAUAAAUGACUCUCAGCAUUUGUGUCGUGGCUCUGACCUGGACCAGUGCAGCGGAUCAGCUCUCAUUGUGCUUCAGACAGGCUUUGAAAAGUUGAGUAGCCAACUUAGGAAAACUGUGUCCAUUCACUAACUGCCGCUACAGUAGAGAGUAGAUUUUGUUGGAUUCAGUCAUUCUGGACUGACCAUCAGUAGUGGAACUCACACUACACCUUAUCGAAUUUCUAUCUUCAUUACUGGCUGAGUCGUGGUUCAGUGAUUUUCUGACAAAACAAAAAAAACAAAAAAUACCUCCCUCUCAUCCCUGCCUGGGAUGAUGUGGAGAAAAAAAAGAAAGCAGCAGUUGAUCAAAACAGCUGAAAUUAUGUUUCUCUCUGAUAAUUUGUCUUAUUUUGAUUUUACUUUGUGCAUUUUUUUCUCUCAAAACUUGAUACUUUUUUUUUGUUAAUAACAUUCCAAUUAGUUUUGUUGUUUUUCUUUUGAUUGGUUGCUAGUGGGGUUUUUUUCCUUUAGAAAAUGUUAGAUUUUAUACAUUUGUGUUGUGUGUUCACCUCUAGUUGAGUGUGUUAACAAGCCAUGCUGGACAUGUACACAUUAAAAAAAAU